rnacentral:tRNA from 1 species
UGCCCGGUGGUCUAACUGGCAGGACACCUGAUUCUGGAUCAGGCCGGUAGAGGUUCGAAUCCUCUCUGGGCAGCCC